rnacentral:rRNA from 1 species
UGCAGCAGUAGGGAAUCUUCCGCAAUGGACGAAAGUCUGACGGAGCAACGCCGCGUGAGUGAUGAAGGUUUUCGGAUCGUAAAACUCUGUUGUUAGGGAAGAACAAGUAUCGGAGUAACUGCCGGUACCUUGACGGUACCUAACCAGAAAGCCACGGCUAACUACGUGCCAGCAGCCGCGGUAAUACGUAGGUGGCAAGCGUUGUCCGGAAUUAUUGGGCGUAAAGCGCGCGCAGGCGGUUCCUUAAGUCUGAUGUGAAAGCCCACGGCUCAACCGUGGAGGGUCAUUGGAAACUGGGGAACUUGAGUGCAGAAGAGGAAAGUGGAAUUCCAAGUGUAGCGGUGAAAUGCGUAGAGAUUUGGAGGAACACCAGUGGCGAAGGCGACUUUCUGGUCUGUAACUGACGCUGAGGCGCGAAAGCGUGGGGAGCAAACAGGAUUAGAUAC